UCGUAGUUGGAUCUUGGGAGUGGGCGGGUGGUCUGCCACGAGGCGAGCCACCGCUUGUCCCCACCCCUUGCCUCUUGGCGCCCCCUCGAUGCUCUUAGCUGAGUGUCCCGUGGGGCCCGAAGCGUUUACUUUGAAAAAAUUAGUGUUCAAAGCAGGCCCGAGCCGCCUGAAUACCGCAGCUAGGAAUAAUGGAAUAGGACCGUGGUCCUAUUUUGUUGGUUUUCGGAACUGAGGCCAUGAUUAAGA
rnacentral:ncRNA from 1 species